GAGCGUAGGGGGCGAGCGUUGUCCGGAUUUAUGGGCGUAAAGCGUGCGUAGGCGGCUGCGCAAGUCGGGUGUGAAACCCCGGGGCUCAACCCCGGAACUGCAUCCGAUACUGCGUGGCUAGAGGUAGGUAGGGGAGAUCGGAAUUCCUGGUGUAGCGGUGAAAUGCGCAGAUAUCAGGAGGAACACCGGUGGCGAAGGCGGAUCUCUGGGCCUUACCUGACGCUCAGGCACGAAAGCUAGGGGAGCGAACAGG
rnacentral:rRNA from 1 species